GCCGUAAACAAUUAAUUUACACCAAUAAGCGCCAGGGAAUUACGAGCAAUGCUUAAAACCCAAAGGAUUUGACGGUGUCCCACCCCACUAGAGGAGCCUGUUCUAUAAUCGAUGAUCCCCGAUAUACCCGACCAUUUCUCGCUUAUCAGUCUGUAUACCUCCGUCGAAAGCUUACCAUGUGAACGCCUGCAGUAGGCUUAAUGACCUAACACGUCAGUACGUCAGGUCAAGGUGCAGCUUAAGAAAUGGGAAGUAAUGGGCUACAAUUUCUAACUUAGAACAAACGAAAGACUGUAUGAAAUUACAAUCAUGAAGGUGGAUUUAGUAGUAAAAAGAAAGUAGAGUGUUCUUUUUAACCCGGCUCUGGGACGCGUACACACCGCCCGUCACCCUCUUCGAUAGUAUCUUAUCCCGUUCCUAACCCACCAUUACAUUUUAGAAGAGGCAAGUCGUAACAUGGUAAGUGUACUGGAAAGUGCACUUGGUUUAU
rnacentral:rRNA from 1 species